GACUGUCCCCUCACAGCUGUGGGCCUCUGGCCUCAGUCCUCAGCUCCUCCAGUCUCACACACCUGGACCUCAGUCACAACGACCUCCAGGACUCAGGAGUGGAGCUGCUGUGUUCUGGACUGAAGAGCGCCCCCUGCAGACUGGAGAGGCUCAGUCUGUCCCUGUGUGGACUGUCCCCUCACAGCUGUGGGCCUCUGGCCUCAGUCCUCAGCUCCUCCAGUCUCACACACCUGGACCUCAGUCACAGCGACCUCCAGGACUCAGGAGUGGAGCUGCUGUGUUCUGGACUGAAGAGCGCCCCCUGCAGACUGGAGACGCUCAGGUUGUCUGGAUGUCUGGUCUCUCAGAGGGGCAGGGCUGCUCUGGCCUCAGCUCUGAGCUCCGCCCCCUCCCACCUGAGAGAGUUAGACCUGAGCUACAACCAUCCAGGACCCUCAGCCGAGCUCCUGACCGCUCUACAGGACCAGCGCCCC
ensembl:lncRNA